rnacentral:lncRNA from 10 species
GGCGCUUUGCCGCCAUGGCCCGGGGCUGGAAGCGCAGCUCUCAAAGGCCUGUGCUGGGGGCUUUCUGAGAGGUCAUCUGAUGAGAUGCUCACAGAGGCGUUGAUAGAGGAGGACCUGGGAUGUCGAGAAGAGAAACCGCAUGAAGGCUUUUGCAGCUAGCAGCGGGCGCAGCGGAGACUUGACCCUGGCGAUCUCGGAGGCGUAUAUCAAGCUGUGUGUGCCCUGUCCUGCUUUUCUCACAGGCUGCUGGGAGGACAAACUCAAGUCAGGGAAGCAAAAGGGCUUUGUACACUAAAACUCUGUCCCAACAUGAGUUGUUUGUCUGUUUCAAAUUUUACCAGCAGAAACGUCUGUCUUACCCCACUCUCUCCACCCCAU